AAGGGGAUUUCCUGGGGACCUCCCUUCUCUUUAUUCGAGAGCUCAGGAGAUACUGGGAGCCAAAGGCCACUGAGGGCCAUUUUGCAGACACGUCAGGCAGGAUCCGGUGUCCUGGGAUGCGUGCUGUGCCAUAUCCCAUGCUGGGUCGCCUGUAAAUGAGCCGCGGAGCCGACAUGCGUGGCUGAGGGCUUAGCUCUGGACACUGUGCCUGAGAGUUUCGUGUUGAGAAGGAGCCCACAUGCAGAGCAGUGUGCAGUCACGGGUGUGUGGGCUUCGCAUCCGGAAGGUGAGCCUCGUGCCCCCUUCGCCUGCGCACGCCCCCGAGGGCACUGCGGGUCAGGACGUAACGCACGUGGCGUACAUGGCGCCCUGCGCCCAGCUGCUUUAGCUCUAGCAAGCCCGUUUGGGAAACGUCUCGUUGCCAUGAUGGUCUUAGUGCUCUGUGUGCGCAUGCUCCUGUGUAAGAGUUGACGGGCGCCGACCUGAAGGACUGCGUCAGCAACAACAGCCUGAGCAGCAAUGCCAGCCUCCCCAGCGUGCAGAGCUGCCGGCGCCUGCGUGAGAGGAGGGUCGCCAGCUGGGCCGUGUCCUUCGAGCGCCUGCUGCAGGACCCCGUCGGUGUCCGCUACUUCUCUGAUUUUCUAAGGAAAGAAUUCAGUGAAGAAAACAUUUUAUUCUGGCAGGCCUGUGAAUAUUUUAAUCAUGUUCCUGCACAUGACAAAAAGGAGCUUUCCUACAGGGCCCGGGAGAUUUUCAGUAAGUUUCUCUGCAGCAAAGCCACCACCCCGGUCAACAUCGACAGCCAGGCCCAGCUAGCAGACGAUGUCCUCCGCGCACCUCACCCGGACAUGUUCAAGGAGCAGCAGCUCCAGAUCUUCAAUCUCAUGAAGUUUGAUAGCUACACUCGGUUUCUGAAGUCCCCGCUGUACCAGGAAUGCAUCCUGGCGGAAGUGGAGGGCCGCGCACUCCCGGACUCGCAGCAGGUCCCUAGCAGCCCGGCUUCCAAGCACAGCCUCGGUUCAGACCACUCUAGUGUGUCCACGCCAAAAAAGUUAAGCGGAAAAUCAAAAUCCGGCCGAUCCUUGAAUGAAGAGCUGGGGGAUGAGGACAGCGAGAAGAAGCGGAAAGGCGCGUUUUUCUCGUGGUCACGGACCAGGAGCACCGGAAGGUCCCAGAAGAAGAGGGAGCACGGGGACCAGGCAGACGACGCCCUGCAUGCCAAUGGAGGCCUGUGUCGCCGAGAGUCGCAGGGCUCUGUGUCCUCUGCGGGGAGCCUGGACCUGUCAGAGGCCUGCAGGACUUUGGCGCCCGAGAAGGACAAGGCCACCAAGCACUGCUGCAUUCAUCUCCCAGAUGGGACAUCCUGCGUGGUGGCUGUCAAGGCGGGCUUCUCCAUCAAAGACAUCCUGUCCGGACUCUGUGAGCGGCAUGGCAUCAACGGGGCGGCCGCGGACCUCUUCCUGGUGGGCGGGGACAAGCCUCUGGUGCUGCACCAAGACAGUAGCAUCUUGGAGUCAAGGGACCUGCGCCUAGAAAAGCGCACCUUGUUUCGGCUGGAUCUUGUUCCAAUUAACCGGUCAGUGGGACUCAAGGCCAAGCCCACCAAGCCCGUCACGGAGGUGCUACGGCCCGUGGUGGCCAAGUACGGCCUGGACCUCAGUGGCCUGCUGGUGAGGCUGAGUGGAGAGAAGGAGCCCCUGGACCUUGGCGCCCCUAUAUCGAGUCUGGAUGGACAGCGGGUUGUCUUGGAGGAGAAGGAUCCUUCCAGAGGAAAGGCAUCCACAGAUAAACAGAAAGGUGUGCCAGUGACACAGAACACAGCUGUAAAUUCCAACUCCAGAAACCACUCGGCUACGGUAAUUCCCCGCCCUGGCCCACCCUGUGUCCCAUUCCUCUCGCUGUGGACCCCGCCUGCCCUGCGCAGUGCUCUGGGGCUUCCUUACCGCCUGCUUAUCACUGUGGGUCUCCCCCACGCUCCUUGGCGGGUCUCUCCGUCCCUGCCGAUCCCCAGCUCCCUCUACCUGUGAAGGACUGGCUUUCUUUUCUUCUGAGGUGGGAGUGGUUGUGCCUUAAAUGCUAUUCCUGUUUGUAAUCUUUAUCAUUGCAAUGGUUUUUCUGCAAUGCAUGUAAAUUCUGUAUCAAUGCAGUCUGUUUCAUAG
rnacentral:sRNA from 1 species